CAUCUACCUACCACCAAUAUUGCCCACUAAACCAUGUCCCCAGGCUGCUGUGAAUUUCCAGUACUAACUGAUGCCCCCUGUCUGGGCUUUGGUCACUGCCUGAACAGUGAUGGCAUCAUGCCUUACACACAUUUCCAAGCUGCUCCACAGUGCUCCCCUGCCCCUAAGUGAAGGCAAAGAAUUUCCAGGUGCUAUCCCAGCCCCAUACCCACAUCAUCUGCCUGGGGAAAAGAAAUCCCCUUUCCUAGCUGGGACAUCUCUGUUUACAAGUCUGCCAAGCUCCUAAGAACUGCAGCUCUCGGAGGACCACUACAGAGAAAAUGAACCCAGACUUCUCUGAGGUGUGCAGCAAAAGGACAAGAGAUGCCUUGAUGCAACAUUGAAGCUGGCCCUGCUUUGUGAGACUUCUGGAGGUCUCUGCCAACUCCAUCACCAAAAGUCAAAAUAAAUCAGCUGUCUCUGCAUAAGAGCAUCAGCUCUUAAAAAAUG